ACACUCUUUCCCUACACGACGCUCUUCCGAUCUUGGAUUGCGAAUCCAUGUGGUGCCGAAGGGAAACCGUGAAGCUCGCCGCCUGGGAAGUACGGCCGCAAGGCUGAAACUUAAAGGAAUUGGCGGGGGAGCACCACAAGGGGUGAAGCUUGCGGUUUAAUUGGAGUCAACGCCGGAAAUCUUACCGGGGGCGACAGCAGGAUGAAAGCCAGAUUAAAGGUCUUGCCAGACGAGCUGAGAGGAGGUGCAUGGCCGUCGCCAGUUCGUGCCGUGAGGUGUCCUGUUAAGUCAGGCAACGAUCGAGACCCGUAUCCCCCGUUGCUACCAGCCUUGAGCUGGGCACACUGGGGAGACCGCCGCCGAUAAGGCGGAGGAAGGAGCGGGCCACGGCAGGUCAGUAUGCCCCGAAUCUCCCGGGCCACACGCGAGCUGCAAUGGCAGGUACAAUGGGUCCCGACCUCGAAAGGGGAAGGAAAUCCCGAAAGCCUGCCGUAGUUGGGAUCGAGGGUUGAAACCCACCCUCGUGAACAUGGAAUCCCUAGUAAUCGCGUGUCACUAGCGCGCGGUGAAUACGUCCCUGCUCCUUGCACACACCGCCCGUCGUUCCAUCCGAGCGACUUCUGGGUGAGGCGUGGUCUUUAUUGGCUGCGUCGAAUCCAGGUUUUGUAAGGAGGGAAAAGUCGUAACAAGGUGGCCGUAGGGGAACCUGCGGCCG
rnacentral:rRNA from 1 species